CUUUGUCUCUCCUGCAGCAUGUCCAGUACUGUGGUAGGUUUUCACCAAUUUUUCUCGCUGGGAGAUCCAGACGGCUCUACCGCGAUCUCUCUCCCUCUGUCACCAGCAAAUAGUGGUAAAUUGGUAGGGAGGACGCCAGGACGCCGCGGAAAUCAGGAAAUGGCCACCUGCACUCUGUUAUGUUUUUUGUCAAAAAAUCUACUGAAAAUGGGUUGACUGAUUUUGCCUUUUUUUCUCAUUGUAAUCCACAUAUGUUGACUGAAUGAGAGUGUCUAAAAAGGAAUUAUCUCCUUGUGACUAACUACAAGUGUCCAGCUGGAUCAUCAUCAUACAACUGGGAAAUUCUGAGAUGGUGUAAGUCUCUGGAGUUAUCUCAUAGGAGGUUCUGCCAUUCCUAGGAAAGAAACUCAAAGUGCUUACUGUAAGUGCUGUAU